rnacentral:rRNA from 1 species
UACAGAGGGUGCAAGCGUUGUUCGGAAUUAUUGGGCGUAAAGGGCGCGUAGGCGGCCACUGCAAGUCAGUUGUGAAAUCUCCGGGCUUAACCCGGAAAGGUCAACUGAUACUGCAGGGCUAGAGUGCAGAAGGGGCAACUGGAAUUCUCGGUGUAGCGGUGAAAUGCGUAGAUAUCGAGAGGAACACCUGCGGCGAAGGCGGGUUGCUGGGCUGACACUGACGCUGAGGCGCGAAAGCCAGGGGAGCGAACGGG